rnacentral:rRNA from 1 species
UAUUUUAUUGGUGUAUAUGGUGAUUAUAAUAAUAUAUUGGACUAGUAUUAUGAGUGAAGGUUAAUGGAUUUUUAUAGUGAAAGAGUACUGUUGAGGAAUUAUUUUAUCUUUAUUAAAUUUGGGUUGUUUAAUACCUUUUGUAUUAGGGUUCUUUAAUGUUUGUGUAUAUUAAUAUAAUCUCGAUAAAUAUCGGGCUAUUUAGUUUGUUUGGGUGUCGUUGUAUAGAUUUCUUUAGGGUUAAAUAGUUAUGAAAUAUUAUUCAAGUUAUUUUGUAUCUAGUUCUCUUAGAAGUAUAAUGGAAUGCGAUAUUGUAAGGGAAUUAUGCAGGGAUUAGCUUGUAUAUUGUUUGUAUGGUGUUUUUAAUAAGAUUUAUUUGUUAGAUUAAAAGUUUCUAUUUUUAUGGUGUUAUUACAGAAUAGUGUUUUUUUAUUAAUUUUUUAUUUUCUAUGUAGUAAUAAGGGGUACUAUAUUAAUUUUUAUUAUUGUGAUAUAAUGAUGAUAUUAGUAAUAUUUUUUAUUUAAUUUUUUGGUGUUAAAUUUAGUUUAAGGUUUAUUGUUCUUGUAAUUAAUAGUAAAGAAUUAGGCAAAAAUUGACUUUUGACUGUUUAGCAAAGACAUUGUUUUUUGUUAAUAAAUAGAAAAUAAUUUCUGCCCACUGCUUUUAUAGUAAAGGGCUGCAGUAUUUUGACUGUAUGAAGGUAGCAUAAUCAUUAGUUCUUUAAUUGGGGACUGGUAUGAAGGGGAAACAGAGGUUUGCUGUUUUAUUGUUAUUUAAUGAAUUUAAUUUUUAUGUGAAAAAUCGUAAGUGAAAUAAUGGGACAAGAAGACCCUAGUAAGUUUUAUUUCUUGUUUUUAAUGCGUAUAUAGGUUAUAAAUUUAUAUAAUUUAUUAUAUGGAGUUUGGCUGGGGCGGCAAAUUAUUAAACAUAAUUUAGUAUGUAACUUUAUUGUUGGCGAUUAGUUGACCUAGGUGGUUUAGUUGAGUGAAAAAUUACUGUAGGGAUAACAGCGUAAUUUUUCUUAAAAGUUCUUAUUAACAGAAAAGUUUGCGACCUCGAU